rnacentral:rRNA from 1 species
CGGAGGCUACCGCUAUUGGAGUUCGAUUAAGCCAUGCGAGUCGAGAGUCUUAGGGACUCGGCGUACCGCUCAGUAACACGUGGGUAACCUGCCCUAUGCUGGGGAAUAACCUCGGGAAACUGAGAAUAAUGCCCCAUAGUCCACAAUGCCUGGAACGGUUUGUGGAUCAAAGCUCCGGCGGCAUAGGAUGGGCCUGCGGCGUAUCAGGUUGUAGGGGGUGUAACGUACCCUCUAGCCAUCAACGCGUACGGGUGUUGGGAGACAUADCCCGGAGAUGGAUUCUGAGACACGAAUCCAGACCCUACGGGGUGCAGCAGGCGCGAAAACUUGGCAAUGCGAGAAAUCGUGACCAGGGAACUCCAAGUGGCUGGGGUAAGACCCAGUCUUUUCUUGACUCUUCAAAGGUCUUGGAAUAAGGGGUGGGUAAGGACGGUGCCAGCCGCCGCGGUAAUACCGGCGCCUCAAGUAGUAGUCGAUUUUAUUGGGCCUAAAACGUCCGUAGCCUGUUUGGUACAUUCGUGGGUAAAUCAACCAGCUCAACUGGUUGAAUUCUGCGAGCACGGCCAGACUUGGGACCGGGAGAGGUGUGGGGUACGCUCAGGGUAGGGGUAAAAUCCUGUCAUCCUGAGCGGACCACCUGUUGCGAAGGCGCCACACUAGAACGGAUCCGACGGUCAGGGACGAAGCCUAGGGGCACGAACCGGAUUAGAUACCCGGGUAGUCCUAGGUGUAAACGCUGUGGACUUGGUGUUGGGGACUCUCCGAGAAUCCUCAGUGCCGAAGCGAAGGUGAUAAGUCCACUGCCUGGGGAGUACGGUCGCAAGGCUGAAACUUAAAGGAAUUGGCGGGG